AGAGCGAACGCUGGCGGCAGGCCUAACACAUGCAAGUCGAGCGCCGUAGCAAUACGGAGCGGCAGACGGGAGAGUAACACGUGGGAACGUACCUUUCAGUUCGGAACAACCCAGGGAAACUUGGGCUAAUACCGGAUACGCCCUUACGGGGAAAGAUUUAUCGCUGAAAGAUCGGCCCGCGUCUGAUUAGCUAGUUGGUGGGGUAACGGCCCACCAAGGCUACGAUCAGUAGCUGGUCUGAGAGGAUGAUCAGCCUCACUGGGACUGAGACACGGCCCAGACUCCUACGGGAGGCAGCAGUGGGGAAUAUUGGACAAUGGGCGCAAGCCUGAUCCAGCCAUGCCGCGUGGAUGAUGAAGGCCCUAGGGUUGUAAAGUCCUUUCGGCGGGGAAGAUAAUGACGGUACCCGCAGAAGAAGCCCCGGCUAACUUCGUGCCAGCAGCCGC
rnacentral:rRNA from 1 species